rnacentral:rRNA from 2 species
AGGAGUGGAGCCUGCGGCUUAAUUUGACUCAACACGGAAAACCUCACCGGGCCCGGACACCGGAAGGAUUGACAGAUUGAGAGCUCUUUCUUGAUUCGGUGGGUGGUGGUGCAUGGCCGUUCUUAGUUGGUGGAUCGAUUUGUCUGGUUAAUUCCGAUAACGAACGAGACUCUAGCCUACUAACUAGGCGUACACUUACCGGUAUCUCGAAGGCCCACAUCAUUCGGUUAGCCAUACUCGUUUUGUCAUCUGUAAAGUUACGCAUGUUUCUUUGCAGUGGCGCGGGUUUGGUCGGAUGUUUGUGCGGUUUUUACUACCGGCGUACAAUUAAUUCUUCUUAGAGGGACAGGCGGCUCCUAGUCGCACGAGAUUGAGCAAUAACAGGUCUGAGAUGCCCUUAGAUGUUCUGGGCCG